UGGGGAAUAUUGCACAAUGGGGGAAACCCUGAUGCAGCGACGCCGCGUGAGCGAAGAAGGUUUUCGAAUCGUAAAGCUCUGUCCUAUGAGAAGAUAAUGACGGUAUCAUAGGAGGAAGCCCCGGCUAAAUACGUGCCAGCAGCCGCGGUAAUACGUAGGUGGCGAGCGUUAUCCGGAUUUACUGGGCGUAAAGGGCGUGUAGGCGGCUAGAUAAGUGUGAUGUUUAAAUCCAAGGCUUAACCUUGGGGUUCAUUACAAACUGUUUAGCUUGAGUGCUGGAGAGGAUAGUGGAAUUCCUAGUGUAGCGGUAAAAUGCGUAGAUAUUAGGAGGAACACCGGUGGCGAAGGCGGCUAUCUGGACAGUAACUGACGCUGAGGCGCGAAAGCGUGGGGAGCAAACAGG
rnacentral:rRNA from 1 species